AACGCACCUUGCGCUCCUUGGUAUUCCGAGGAGCAUGCCUGUUUGAGUGUCAUUAAAUUCUCAACCUUUUCAGCUUUUACAAGUUGUAUUGGCUUGGAUGUGGAGGUUUUGCAGGCUUCUUAAGAAGUCAGCUCCUCUUAAAUACAUUAGCGGAACCUUUGUGGACCAGCUUUGGUGUGAUAAUUAUCUACGCCAUGGUUGUAAAGCAGCUUUAUAUGGGGUUCAGCUUCUAACAGUCCAUUUACUUGGACAAUUUCUGACAUCUUGACCUCAAAUCAGGUAGGACUACCCGCUGAACUUAA
rnacentral:misc_RNA from 1 species